UCUCAGAGGACGGAAGGCGCCGAAGGCCGCUCCAAUUUUGGACUCGUUCCUCCGUCUCUCCAGCGCAUCCCUCUCGCCGCCCCCUCACUUCGCCUCCCUUCUCUUCUGGGGUCAUUGAAUCCGGACGAGCGGGCGUUACAAAUCUCUCUCUCUCUCUCUCGACCGGUCUCUGGCGCAAGGGACAUGGUGAUUCGAGCGCAGCGUCCGUCCGGUGUUCCACUCCUGAACGGAGGCGAGGAGAGGACGGGCGUCGAUUGUUCCCAACACCUGCCUGGUUUCUUGGACCCAUCGGCGGUGAUGUUCUCCGGGGGCGGAGCGACUGCGAACCCGAGGAAGCGAGGAAGAGAGGAGGCGGCAGUGGCAAUCGGGUCGACGCCGGUGCAAGAUAAUGACAGUAUUAGUAAUCUCUUGGUCUUGGGACCCAGCAGUCUUCCGCCAACGUUGAUAAGCCUCGCGCAUCUUCGAUCGGAAUCCGCUGCUCCCCUCACCUCC